UGGUGGAGUGAUUUGUCUGGCUAAUUCCGUUAACGAACGAGACCUCGACCUACUAAAUAGUUGACUAAACUCUUCGGGGUUUGGAUUAACUUCUUAGAGGGACUUUUGGUGAGUAGCCAAAGGAAGUUCGAGGCAAUAACA
rnacentral:rRNA from 1 species